rnacentral:rRNA from 1 species
GCUGGUGCCAGCCGCCGCGGUAAAACCAGCUCUUCAAGUGGUCGGGAUAAUUAUUGGGCUUAAAGUGUCCGUAGCUGGUAAGGUAAGUUCCUGGUUAAAUUGGGCAGCUUAACUGUCCUUAUGCUAGGAAUACUGCUUUACUAGAGGGCGGGAGAGGUCUGAGGUACUACAGGGGUAGGAGUGAAAUCUUAUAAUCCUUGUAGGACCACCAGUGGCGAAGGCGUCAGACUGGAACGCGCCUGACGGUGAGGGACGAAAGCCCAGGGGAGCGAACCGGAUUAGAUACCCGGGUAGUCCUGGCCGUAAACGAUGCAACACUAGAUGAUGGUGCGGCCAUGAGCCGUAUCAGUGUCGUAGGGAAACCGUGAAGUGUGCCGCCUGGGAAGUACGGUCGCAAGGCUUAAACUUAAAGGAAUUGGCGGGGGAGCACCACAAGGGGUGAAGCCUGCGGUUCAAUUGGACUCAACGCCGGGCAACUUACCAGGGGAGACAGCAGAAUGAAGGUCAGGUUGACGACCUUACCUAACAAGCUGAGAGGAGGUGCAUGGCCGUCGCCAGUUCGUGCUGUGAGGUAUCCUGUUAAGUCAGGCAACGAACGAGACCCGUGUCUUUAUUUGCCAUCAAGAAGUCACGACUUCGUUGGGAACGAUAAAGGGACUGCCGUCGAUAAGACGGAGGAAGGAGCGGGCAAAGGCAGGUCAGUAUGCCCCGAAACCCCUGGGCUACACGCGGGCUGCAAUGGUGCGAACAAUGGGCUGUGACUCCGACAGGAGAAACCAAUCCCGAAAUCGCAUCUCAGUUGGGAUUGUCAACUGUAACCCGUUGACAUGAACGUGGAAUCCCUAGU